CCUACGGGAGGCUGCAGUGGGGAAUAUUGCGCAAUGGGCGAAAGCCUGACGCCGCGACGCCGCGUGAGGGAUGAAGGUCUUCGGAUCGUAAACCUCUGUCAGCAGGGAAGAACAGUCACUGUGCUAAUCAGCAGUGAAUUGACGGUACCUGCAAAGGAAGCACCGGCUAACUCCGUGCCAGCAGCCGCGGUAAUACGGAGGGUGCGAGCGUUAAUCGGAAUUACUUGGCGUAAAGCGCUCGUAGGCGGUAUGUCAAGGCAAGGGUGAAAUCCCCGCGCUCCACGUGGGAACUGCCUUUGAAACUGGCAAACUGGAGUGUGUGAGAGGAUAGUGGAAUUCCAGGUGAAGGAGUGAAAUCCGUAGAUAUCUGGAGGAACAUCAGUGGCGAAGGCGACUAUCUGGCACAUAACUGACGCUGAGGAGCGAAAGCGUGGGUAGCAAACAGGAUUAGAUACCCCUGUAGUC
rnacentral:rRNA from 1 species